UUAACUAUUAUAUAGUACUCAGACAGUAUAGACAAACAGAGUUUGGGUCCUCUGGCAGGCGCUCGCCGGCCGGAGCCAGCAGCCCGGAGGCAGGCCUGCCAAAGCAACAAAGUGUGAUAAACAAAGGGUGGAAGGUGUGCCCGGUGGCCAUAUCUCAGGCUCCUAGGUUGCUUCAUUUAAUGAUCCUUCCGCAGGUUCACCUACGGAAA
rnacentral:misc_RNA from 1 species